CUGCAGUGCUCAGCAGUUUAUUCCAUGAACUUUGCGUAUUUUCAAAAUUUUCCCGGAGUAUUUUAGUUCCAACGAAUCUCGCAGCUGGCUCAGUUACUAUUGAGACGCGCGUCUAAUCGGUCGAUAAAACGGAAAAACUUAAAACUCAACGCGAGCGCGUGCCUGGGAAAAAAACUAGUAAUAGACAACGGCAAGAGAAACAGGAUAUUUAAGGCAGAGCAAUUUUUAGCAUUUGUGUCUAAGAAGAAGUCUAUUUGCCAAAUACAUUAAUAACACAGAGGGCACAGCAAGAAGUGUCGCUUUAGAAGAUAAAGCAACAAGCGCUUUUGUGUAGCGGUAAAAAUAACGUAGACAACCACAACAACAAAUAAAUAAUAAAACAAUAAAAUAUUGAAAUAACUUAAGAAAACGUGUAAAAUCAGCGAAAACAGCACAAAAAUUGCGUCAAAUUAUAGAAACAACAAAUCUAAAAAAAAAACCAAAAAACCACAGCAAGCGUCUUUAUAUUCAUUUUGUUAUCCUACAUUAGCUAUUCUGCCAACGCAACGGAAGUAAUCAACGCUAACUAGGACAAUAUGACACGCGUGCGACGAAUUGUGUUGGCGCAAUUUAAUGCUGAGAACUUAUAAUGACAACGCUAAAAAGUAUGCAGCAGAUUAAGAAGAAUAAAGCGUAAGGCGCCUAAAAGUAUACAGAGUGCAUAUAAAUAAUAUAGUAAUGCUACAUAACUGGGCGCAGCGAAAAUUUUGACUCUAACCGAGAGUAAAGAGGAUCAAAGAGGGCUCCGAGUGCUAUAAAUAUUUAUAAAACUGCUGAAAAGGUUAAUUACGAAGAAUUACAAUUGUAAUUACAACAGCAGUGUGAUUAAGAGAUAUUUAGAAAAAUAAGAAAAAAUAAAUAACUGCAACAAAGUUUAAAAGGAAAAGGUGAGAAAGCAGCUGUAAAGCGCAGAGAUAGAACAUUAUUUAUAAUAACAAGAGUAAAAACACCAACAAAAUAUUGUAACUGAAACUUAAAACUAUAAGCCAGUCAAGGAUAUUGAGCAACAAGCACAGAGGAUUUUAGGAAGCCAACUUAUAUAGCUCACACAGGACUUAAAGAGGAAUUGUUAACAAAAACAAUACUCCAAAAUAAUAAAACAGCAUUAAAUACAACUACCGUUAUGUCUAUACAAUGAC